UCUGUGAGGUAGAGUAUUUUACGACAUUCGAUGCUGCAAAAAUAGAAGUUGGGUUAUGAAAGUUUAUCAAGAAGCUUGGAGUGGCACCCUUUAAGAUGGUCCAGUCCUGUGUGAUAGAACUAGAGUCAUAGCUCAGUCUAAUGAACUGAAGUCUCAUCAAAAAACCAAACACAUUUUGCAUCACUAUCACCUUGUUUGAAUGAUCGAGAUGAUGUUGACC
rnacentral:lncRNA from 1 species